GUCGUUAGAGUUUGAUCAUGGCUCAGAUUGAACGCUGGCGGCAGGCCUAACACAUGCAAGUCGACGGUAGCACAGAGGAGCUUGCUCCUCGGGUGACGAGUGGCGGACGGGUGAGUAAUGUCUGGGGAUCUGCCCGAUAGAGGGGGAUAACCACUGGAAACGGUGGCUAAUACCGCAUAACGUCGCAAGACCAAAGAGGGGGACCUUCGGGCCUCUCACUAUCAGAUGAACCCAGAUGGGAUUAGCUAGUAGGCGGGGUAACGGCCCACCUAGGCGACGAUCCCUAGCUGGUCUGAGAGGAUGACCAGCCACACUGGAACUGAGACACGGUCCAGACUCCUACGGGAGGCAGCAGUGGGGAAUAUUGCACAAUGGGCGCAAGCCUGAUGCAGCCAUGCCGCGUGUAUGAAGAAGGCCUUCGGUUGUAAAGUACUUUCAGCGGGGAGGAAGGCAGUGAGGUUAAUAACCUUACUGAUUGA
rnacentral:rRNA from 1 species